rnacentral:tRNA from 1 species
AGCGGCGUGGCUCAGUGGAAAGAGCCCGGGCUUGGGAGUCAGAGAUCACGGGUUCGAAUCCCGGCUCUGCCG